AACGAACGCUGGCGGCAUGCCUAACACAUGCAAGUCGAACGAGACCUUCGGGUCUAGUGGCGCACGGGUGCGUAACGCGUGGGAACCUGCCCUUAGGUUCGGAAUCACUCCCUGAAAGGGGUGCUAAUACCGGUUAAGGUCUUCGGACCAAAGAUUUAUCGCCUUUGGAUGGGCCCGCGUUGGAUUAGCUGGUUGGUAGGGGAAAAGCAUACCAAGGCGACGAUCCAUGGCUGGUCGGAGAGGAUGAUAAGCUACACUGGGACUGAGACACGGCCCAGACCGCUACGGGAGGGAGCAGUGGGGAAUAUUGGGCGAUGGGCGAAAGCCUGAUCCAGCAAUGCCGCGUGAGUGAUGAAGGCCUUAGGGUUGUAAAGCUCUUUUACCCGGGAUGAUAAUGACAGUAACGGGAGAAUAAGCUCCGGCUAACUCCGUG
rnacentral:rRNA from 1 species